rnacentral:rRNA from 1 species
ACCCGCUGAACUUAAGCAUAUCAAUAAGCGGAGGAAAAGAAACCAACAGGGAUUGCCCUAGUAACGGCGAGUGAAGCGGCAACAGCUCAAAUUUGAAAUCUGGCCCCCUAGGGGGUCCGAGUUGUAAUUUGCAGAGGGUGCUUUGGCGUUGGCAGCGGUCUAAGUUCCUUGGAACAGGACGUCACAGAGGGUGAGAAUCCCGUACGUGGUCGCCAGCCUCCGCCGUGUAAAGCCCCUUCGACGAGUCGAGUUGUUUGGGAAUGCAGCUCUAAAUGGGAGGUAAAUUUCUUCUAAAGCUAAAUACUGGCCAGAGACCGAUAGCGCACAAGUAGAGUGAUCGAAAGAUGAAAAGCACUUUGGAAAGAGAGUCAAAAAGCACGUGAAAUUGUUGAAAGGGAAGCGCUUGCAGCCAGACUUGCCUGUAGUUGCUCAGCCGGGCUCCGGCCCGGUGCACUCUUCUGCGGGCAGGCCAGCAUCAGUUCGGGCGGCCGGAUAAAGACCUCUGUCACGUACCUCCCUCCGGGGAGGACUUAUAGGGGAGGUGAAAUGCGGCCAGUCCGGACUGAGGUCCGCGCAUCUGCUAGGAUGCUGGCGUAAUGGCUGUAAGCGGCCCGUCUUGAAACACGGACCAAGGAGUCUAACAUCUAUGCGAGUGUUUGGGUGUCAAGCCCGAGCGCGUAAUGAAAGUGAACGGAGGUGGGAACCCCUCGGGGUGCACCAUCGACCGAUCCUGAUGUCUUCGGAUGGAUUUGAGUAAGAGCAUAGCUGUUGGGACCCGAAAGAUGGUGAACUAUGCUUGAAUAGGGUGAAGCCAGAGGAAACUCUGGUGGAGGCUCGCAGCGGUUCUGACGUGCAAAUCGAUCGUCAAAUUUGGGCAUAGGGGCGAAAGACUAAUCGAACCAUCUAGUAGCUGGUUCCUGCCGAAGUUUCCCUCAGGA